rnacentral:rRNA from 1 species
GAGGAAGGCAGACCCAGGGAACUGAAACAUCUAAGUACCUGGAGGAAGAGAAAGAAAAAUCGAUUUCCUGAGUAGCGGCGAGCGAAACGGAAAGAGCCCAAACCAAGAAGCUUGCUUCUUGGGGUUGGAGGACACUCUAUACGGAGUUACAAAAGAAAGUUAUAAAUGAAGCGGUCUGGAAAGGCCCGCCAAAGACGGUAACAGCCCGGUAGUUGAAAUGGCUUUCCCUCCAGAGUGGAUCCUGAGUACGGCGGA